UCCUAGCGGGUGGGCUUUGAGAUAGGAGGUACCACAAAAAAGUAUCUAUCCCCUUUACCCCAUAAAUUCCCGUGAAAAGCCCACAGGUAUAAAACAAACAAGCAGUGAUCACAUUACAGGCACUUUUUGAUAGCCACCAGCUUAUCAAAACCUCUACUAUUACCUCGACUUGUAAAAAAUGAAUAAAAUAAACAAAGUAUUAUACCAACAAAUCAACAACUUUUAUCACAUUACAGACACUUUUUGAUAAUAUUUGACCUGGUUAUAGACAGCCAUUACAACCAUCAACAAUCUCUACCAGCACUGAGAAGAUCGAGUAGGAAGUACAGCAAGGAUGAGAGAGUGAGGAGCGUGGCGGUGAUGUGGCCAUGAAAUACUUGCAAAUUGCUUCUUGUUAUAGUAAUGGAUAAGGGUAAGGAUAGUAGAUUGAAUUUUGUUAGUGAUUGUAUUUAAGUUUUUCCUCAUUAUUUGUUAUCUACGUACAAUUAGGACUGUUAGUGGUUGUAUUGUUAUUAAUCCUUUCAGUACUAUGCCGCGUUUUCAUGUUUCUUCCGGUUAGUUAGUAUAUGCGAUUUUAUGUAGCUUCAGAAAUAUAUGUUGCGAUUAAAAUAGUAAAGACUGUGGCCAUUUAUCUUCUGACGUCCAUAGACCCUUCCUAAUGCAAAUAAAAUCUUUCUAAUCAUAUCAAAAGUCAUGGUAAAAAUGUGUCCCAGUAUUAAAGGGGUUAACAGCGUAAGAAUGUUCGAAAGGACUCAAGGAAUGGUCUGAAGCUCCGAAUCCUGUCUCAAGCUCCAUUACGUGUGACCUUGUGUGUGGGUACCAUCACUUUGUCUCCGUUCGUCGGCUAGAACUGGAGUGUGAUGCAGCAGUCACCCACCGCCUAACCUAUGGGAGGUAAUGGUAAUGGUGGUGGUGGUGGUGCACGUGAGCGGUGUGCGGUCUGUUGGCAGCUUUGGAGUGGAUCUCGUUUCUUGUUGGAGUGUGGUGAGUGUGUUGCGUCAAAGUGGCUUUCAGUGUGAGAGAGAGGCAACGAAGAGUAACUCCGUCUGGCCCUAGAUCGACAGCUGAGUCAAGCAUGUUAACUUCAGUGAUGGGCAACAGAAGUGUACACAGUCUAUGUACAAUUUUUAAAGAUUAUAAUCUAUAAAUAUUAUGUAUCUUUUAUAUUAAUAAGUCUGAAAACAUUGAU